rnacentral:rRNA from 1 species
UACGUAGGAGGCAAGCGUUGUCCGGAAUUACUGGGUGUAAAGCGCGUGUAGGUGGUGGGCCAAGUCUGUGGUGAAAUCGCCCGGCUCAACUGGGCGAGGUCCGUGGAAACUGGUCGACUGGAGGACGGUAGAGGCGAGUGGAAUUCCCGGUGUAGUGGUGAAAUGCGUAGAGAUCGGGAGGAACACCAGUGGCGAAGGCGGCUCGCUGGGCCGGUCCUGACACUGAGACGCGAAGGCGUGGGGAGCAAACAGG